ACUGAGAAGUGGAAUUGAAGCAGCGAAGCAAAAGAACACAAGCCACCAGGAUGCCAGACAGGGAGCAGAGGUGAUAUUAUUGCAUUUUAUUAUUUCUUUAAUUUAAUUCAGCAGACAACUUACACAAAAAUAGUCCCAAGGGGAGUCACACAAAUUUAAAAGAUGCAAAAGGCACUAAAAUGCAACAAUUUUAACAAACAAUAAAAUAUAUAAUGUCAUAAAGACCUAAAAGUGUAAGGAGAGAGUCGCAGCCCAUAUGAUGCUAUGGCAACAGCACUAUAUGUCAUAGUAAUGGAUAACACAUUUAUCUACCAUCUGAAGUAGUAUUUGCAAUAUUGUGAGCUGUGGCUCAUAUGUACAAGUGGAGACCAUUUUUCCUCAUGUGUGGGAUGUAAUUCAAUUGAAUAUGAGUCACUUAAUGCAUACCACAUAGGCCCCUGUGAUUUCAUUUUUCUCUUUCUUUAUGUAAUAUAUUUAAAGAGAAAAUCAUGCUUAUUUUAUGGAGUGAGCAGCCUUCCCCACCCCCUCACCAUGUUUGAAGCAUGAUUGAAAACAUCAGAAGAAUGUUGCAUUGUUCAGGAAAGAUGAACAUGCGUUUAGUUCAUUUAUAAUAUAUUUUUCACAGAUGGGACUGGGACUAUGUUAUUACUAGGAUCAAAAAUGUGUGUGUGGGGAGAGAAAUCAAAUUCUAAUUAAUAAUUUUGUUAGGGAUUCUCGCUAACUACAAUUUAUUUUUUUUAAUUGGCAGUUGCCCUUAAUAGAAUGCACACGCAGACACUCACGACAAAUUCCUUUCUAUAAAAGAUAACUGGGAUUUGUGGGAAGCUGUGGUAGGGCAUAGAAAAGUUGGUGCAUAUAUUGCAGAUGACUUUUCUGGGGUAGCAGGGAUUUGAGGGAUUAAGUUGAAAAACCCACAGAUCUAACUAUCAUAAGAAGAUACUGGCCACAAAAUGACUUCAAACAUUUCUUGGUUCAGUUUAAAAUGUUUCUAAUGAGUCUGUAAGCUUUGAGUUCAGACUGUCUGAAUCUUCCAAGGAUAUACAAUGCUUUUCAGCUACUAUAGAAGAAAUUAGGAUGACACACAACUGGAUAAACAAGGGCCCACUUCAUGGGUACUUCAGUAGUUAUGUGUCAGUCCAUUCAAGAGAAUUUGUGCAAAACUUCACCUUGUUCUUUGUAUCUACUAAUCUGCUUACCACUGCUGCCUGCUUUAAAGCUUCCCAUACUUGAGAUACCAGAAAGAGUGUGUUUUGAUGAUAAACUAAUAGGUUGCAACAGCUUUAAAGGUGCGUUGCUUUCUGUGGUCAGACAAAUAUGAGUGACAAGUGGAGAAUGUGGAUAGGAAGUGAGUUGCUCCACUCCAAUUGUUUUUGGUUGCCCUUUUCUGAACUUUUCCCAGCUCUACUAUAUCCUUCUUGAGAUGAGGAACCAGAACUGCACACAGUAUUCCAAGCACCAUAGAUAAGAGAAUUAGAUACUGGGAAUUAUAUUUACCACCCCUUUCCUAAUGAUCCCUAAUGAUCUUAUUUGCUUGAAUGCGCAGCUCUAAGAUGUGUGUCACAUUUUGGUCUGAUGGACAUAGGAACAAGUUGUGAAACUUAUCACAUGCCCCUAAAUCAACAAGUGCCUAAAUUUGAGACCCCCUCUGAGAGUGAAGCUCUGACCCUGACCCCCUCCUCUGACCCUGAAAGCAUGUGUGUGUGUGGGGGGGGAGGAAUUGCUGCAGAACUUGUCCCCCAUCACAUCCUCUGCCUACCAUUUUGUGUAACAUCCUUUCCCCCUAAUAAGGCCAAAUAUCAGGGGGAUGUUUUUCAAUCAAAAAAUGGCGCAUGUGGAAAGAGUAAAUUCCUCAGUGGCACAGUCCUGGUCCAGACUGGGCCCUCCUUCAGCUGCUGUUUGCCAAUGUUUAAAGAGAUGAGAGAUCUAGGCAUUGAGUUGGGUCCUCAAAUGCUCUUCCCCAAGGGAAGGAGACACAGAAUGAAGUAGCAUCUGUGUGUGUUUCAUGCUGGUUUUGACAAAAAGGUUUGUGGUUGUCAAAAAUAAACCAUGGGUUUCAUCUUGAAUGGCAAACCUCAUGACAUUCUAUCACACUUUUACCACAACUGGUGUACCAGCUGAAAAUGUCUUGUGUGCCUUUGAAGCCAGUUAACAUACAGAAACCUUUAGAUAAUAUCCUCCCUAGCUUAUUUUGCAUUUGUAGAUUCCCCGUUUUAAUACCACAUUUGCAAACCCCUUUAUUACACAAACGAGACCACGCUCACCAUGGUUUCACCAUGGUCUGUCACAACCUAUUUUCAUAACACAACCCAUUUUAUUGUAUGCUGUGCAGUGAGAGUCCAAGCCACAAGUGGGACUCAUUCAGCUUCAAGGUUUCUCCUCCUCCUCCCUCCUGAAACUUUAGCCCUGAAAAAAUAUAUAUGAAGAAAUAUAGACUUGUCAAAAUUAAUAAUUAACAUCACAUUUAUUUUCCCCAUGCAUACACAGUCUCUUUUAUUCACCUACACACUGUGUUGAAACAAAGUUAUUUGUAUAACAGCCAAGUGGGUAUGGUUUUUAACCUUUUCUUGUGGCAAAAGUGCAACUGGGAGGUUGGGUCAGCUGUUCUGGGCUGCCCUCCUCUGCUUCCUGUGUGCCUUUAUAUACGAAAAAGUUACCUGAUAUUUGUUUAAGUUGCGAUUUCAGAUGAAGGCAGAGGCUGACCCUCUUUCUGCCUGGAUGUCUGAUUUUGAAAUGUUUUAGUAUGGUGCGGGAAAAAUUGCUACUGAUCUUUCAGACUGAAUGUUUCAUGAACAUCAAAUCUUUUAUUUUGUGUUUCUUACUUCCCCAAAUGCUAGGAAGUUCCAGGACAGCCCCUUUUUCUUCGAGGAAAGAAUACUAGACUGAUGAUGGGUUUGUGGUGGGAACAGGUGGUGGUAGCAAUCAGUGAGAGGGAUGUUUUAGUGAUGGAGUUUCUGCUGUGGAAUUUUCUCCUCAGGAAAAGUUGCCUGAUACUAUCAUUACUGUGCUUUAAGAACCAGGAAAAGUCUGCUGUGUUCACUCAUGCUAAGGCUGAGCUGAAAUGCACCCACCAAUUUCGUUUUCCCAUUCACAGAUGGUGAAAAUGGUUAACAAUUUGGGGGGUGGGGUGGAGAUGAAAUUUGACCAGAUCUAUUGACAGCAGCAAUUCUCUCAUGGCGGCUACACCCCCCCCCCGACCACUGCCUCACAUAACAGUUCUGAAGGAACUUCUAGACAAAAACAAAAUGGCUGGCGGCCACUGAGAGGAGCUGCAUAAUUGCUGGCAGGAAGAUGGCUGCAAUGGCAAAACAAGAAGUGGCGGGAAAAGGUGAGUUGGAGGCAGCAUUUUUUAGAUACCUACCCUCCCCAAGCCUGACCCCAGCAUUUGAUAAAUACUUUAAAUAUAAGACGAUGUGAAUGCUACUGCAAUUGUUUGAUGUUUUUAGGCAGCUGCUUUUAUAUAUAUUUAUUUUUGUGUUGUCUUAAUUUUUGUAAGCUGCUUGAGUGUUAUUUUAAGUGGAAAGUGAGGUAUAAAUAAGUAAGUAAGAAAAUAGUAAACUCACACAGAAUGCCAUUUCGUCAAAUUUAAUUCUGCAUGUGGGGAGUUAUUAGCGGGUACAGGACCGGAUUUAGGUUUGAUGAGGCCCUAAACUACUGAAGGUAAUGGGGCCCUUUAUAUGUCCAGCUGUCCUUUGUCAGCAGCAAAUUGUCGCUGUUAUUUUUGUUUGUUGAAUAUAUACUAUAUGGUAAUUUAUGGACCUAAUAGUUAUCUAAAGCAUUUGCACAUAACAAAUAGGAGCCUACACAGCACAAAACACUGUUGCUGUAUGUAGGUUUUAUUUUUUUAUCUUAUAUUUUGGAAAUGUACAUCCAGUUUCUUUUCCUUUAAAUGUUUUGGGGGCCCCAAGAGAGUGGGGCCCUAAACUAUAGUUUGUUUAGCUUAUAUGUAAAUCCAGCACUGGUGGGUCAUGUCACUAUUAUCCUAACAAAGAGCAGUAGUGGGGAGAAGGGGCUAUCCAAGGAAUGAAUAGAACCAAAUAGUAUUUUCUGUGAGCUACUCAUAUUGAUUUGAGGGCGGGAUCCUUCGAAAACUUACCAAAAUAAAAAAGGAGACCCAAUAAGCACUGCAAAUACUGGGUAUAAGCAUGGUAAGCUAGACCUGAUAAACCAAGACCACUUGUACCAGCAACAUAGUUCAUGAGAAGUAAAUGGAUGGAUGAACACACAAUCAGAAUCACAAAGGUAUCAUAUACCCUCUUCAUCCAGUUCUAGAGUUCAACUUCCUAUCUGGAGUAUGAAAGAACUUGACCCUGUGGAAAAAGCAAGAAUAGGCCUCUGCAAGAGUUUGUAAGUAUGCCACUGCAGGCGUCAAAUAAAAAUUUGUUCUCCCAGGUGGUGAGCAACAUUACACACUGAAUUUUGGUCACACAAUUUAAAGGGAAACAUGUGGUUUCAGCAUUUUGCUGAAGAAGCAUCCAUUGAAACAUUUAUGCAUACGAGCCUUGUUCUUCCAGGGCCUGAAUGAAAACAUAUUAAUUCAAAUAAAUCUCUUUCAUCCAUUUCAGACGAUGGGUUGGCACUUAUAAGUAACCGUUAUUUGCUGAAGAAUGAUUUGCUUUUUGAAAUGAUACAAAUCACAACCAUCUUUCCACAGUUUCUCCAUACUCCAAUUUAAAGAAUGUUUCAUGGAGCUAUUAAAACAUCAAGAUGAUCACUAUUUAUGGAAACAAAUCUUUCCUUUAAAUAUCAUUUCUGACAUGCUUGAUAAAUAAAUAUCCCUCCAGCUACAGAAAUGGUUCAGUGGCAAUACAAAUGUCUAUAUGUCAGUGGAAAUGAGUUGCAUUUUAUUUCAAGGAGUCCAAAGGAAAUCUGUUUUGCUGCAUUUUAGUAGUAUUUGUAAAUAUGGCAAUCAUUUUCAUUUAUGAGCUGACUUUGAUUGGGAAUGGAAUUCAACCUACUCCCCACUAUGUGUAAUGCACAGUGAUUAGAAUGAACUAACUCAGAUUAACUAAUUCCCUGGAUUAAUUAUAAAUGUAUGAAUUACACCUGCAAGUAGUUCUUAUAAUUUCCAGGUGAACAGCAUGUGAACUAAACUCCUUUUGUGGUGGAACUUGAUUUUUAAAAAUUCCAUUCCAUUUUAAUUUAACAAUUUACAUAUAUACAAAGAAGUUUAAUUGAACUUAACUCUGUGUUUGAUUGUGGCCAC